CGCGGACAGAGAGAAAUGCCGAGGAAUAGGGGCGCGGCCGCCCGGUUUCGGCGAUGGGUUAUAGGGUCCGCGUCAGCCCCGCGCCCGCACAGCCAACGUCACGCCGCAUUCUUAUUUCCAAAGACCCCUGGAGCUUGGGGUCCCACCCCAGCGGUCUUUCGGGGCGUCCCCUGCCCUUCACGCGCCGCGCCGGCUCGGCCCGAAGCGCCCUGCGGACCCGCAGCCUGGGCCGCCCCGAACCUGACGGCCCCGCGGGGGUCGGACGCGGGAGGAACGGCCUCGCUUUCAGAGACGCAGCGGGAGGGCGGUCCCCGCUGUCCCUCUGGCCGGGUCCUCAGCACGCGUUCUCCUCACUCCCAGGACUAGCGAGCGGCGGGCGCGGACCGGGGCCUGGGGUCGGAGGCGGCGCAGCCAGAAAGGCCCCAGCGGCGCUGAGACGUUUGGGGGAAGGCGGGGGCUUCGCGUUUCGAUGGCGGGAAGCGGAAUGAGGUUGGACCGGCCGGGCCGGCGUUCAGGGACCCGGCGGGAGGCGGAGGGCUGGCGUCCUCGCGGACAUCCAUCUGCAGCGAACCAGGCAGAGGCUUUGGGAUUAGAUCCUUGACUCCUUGCGUCAGUAGUUAAGCUUUGUGAUGGUCUGAGGUCCAUGAAGGGAUUAAAACCAGGAACUGGCUCCUUCUCCAACCACUAAAGCCUCAUCUGGGCCCACAAGCCCUGGCUGUUCCCUGGAGCGUGACUGGAAGAUGUGAGCAGCUUUGUGCUGGAGCCCCAUUUCCAUGGUGCAUGCUGCUGCCAAACCAGAGAUCACUUGUAGACUUGAAAGGGAACAUGAGCUUUGGGUGAAGGAUUCCCAGCCCCCAACAGAGGCCAAAAAGCUACCACCCAGCCAGGCAGAAGGAACAUAAAGUAUGCAUUUUAUGAUACGACUCAGCUUGGAGGGAUGAAGUAGAAGGUCCUCACUGCACCUCAUGGCAGGCUGCUGACGGCAGAUAUUUUACCGGGCUCACUGAACUGGGCAGUCAGGGAAGGGUCGGCUCCUGCUCUGUCCAGCUGUCUUCAUAAGGGACUCUGUGACACUUUUUAUAAAAAUGACUUUGAUUUCUGCAUAAGAAGGCUUCCCAAGCUUGCUGUCUAGCAGUGGCUGCUACAGGGAAUUAUUCACAUGGCAGCAAGAGAGCCCUGGCUCCCUGGACCAGGACAUUCCCUUUGUGUGUGUUGGAAUGAGAGCAGGAGGAGUGCUGGUCAGAAGCCCCUCCCCAGGGCUCUGGGACUUCAGUGUUCUCAGACAAACUGGGCCGCUCCUCUGAGCUGGGAUGCUGACCCACACUUGGCCCCGGCUCUGGCAUCCACAGGACGCUGCCUUAUCCGUCAUCUCGCUGGGGCUGGGGGCUAGAGGCUGAGCAGGUCACACUGAACAAAAGAAGUGUGUCCCCAUCACUAGGCUAACAUCUGAGUUUCUUCCACAGUAUUUGGUAACACAGUCAGAAACAAGACUGAAGAUGAUUCUGGAGGCAACUGGGAACCCCCCAGAACGAUUCUGCAGGCUUCUGGGAAGCUGAAAAACCCCAAGGCCAGACUGGCCUCAGAAUGCCUGAGUCCUUUUGAUUCCACUGGAAAAGCCAUCCAUCUGUGCCAAGUGUGUGGAGAGCUUCAAGAGCCAUAUAGCCCUGGCCACCAUGAGCACAGCCACGUGGGGGAGUAGUCCUGAAAGUGUCCUGGUGUGGCAAAGGCUUUCCACUAAGUGGACCUCAGAUGGCACAGGAAGACCCUCCUGGGGAUGUGGGAGGACACUGCCUAGUGGGUGAGGGGCCGCUCUUUCAGGUGUGCACACUAAAUGCAGAGACAGCCUCUCCUGGCUGCCAAGAAGCCUGUGCAUGAUCCAGGACCACAAAACACUUGCAAACUCACUGCCCAGAGGCCCUGUGCCUGUCUGGAGUGUGCCCAGUGUGUCUGCGCCCCACAGCUUGUCCUGGCCCGCCAGCAGAGCCGCAGCACUGCAGGGCCCUUCUGUUGUGAGUGCCAGGGCCCUUGCUGGCUGCCUGAGCAAGGCAAAAGGUUCAAAACAGGAAGUCUCUGGGCAGCUAUUCCCAGGUGCAGAGGGGAGCAGCGGCCACACAGGUGCCAGUGUGGCAGGAGCUGCAGUCAGAGGCAGCAUCUCAAGAGCCCUGGGAGCAGGGGCCAGCCACGUGAAGCCCACGAGUGUCGCUGGCACAGGGAAGGGACACGAGGAUCACACUGACCCAAGAGAAGGCCCACAGUGAGGAGGCCCCACCGAAGCAUCCCCAGCAACAGGGACUGAGGCAUCUGAGGCAGCCAGCCCACUCGGAAAGGCCUGCUGACUGCACUCCAGAUGUCAAGAGCACCCUUGGGAAAAAGAAAGGCAGGAGUGCAGCACUUUCUAGAGCCUCAGCUCACUUCUCUCCUUCUAGCUCCAGCCGGAGUGAUGGAAGAGGCUGCGCUGGGAGCUGCCUCCCUGGGAGCCUACCCUGCCCAGCCUGAGAGUGGAGGCUACCAGCAUCACGCUUCCCCUAGUGAAAUCCAUCUGUCCUGAAGGGAACCCUGGGACGGGGUCAAGGAAACCCUGUUCACCCCCACCACGGGGUCAGGUCUUCACCAAAGGGAGGCCGCACGGAUUCCCAGUCGCAAACCCAAAGCCUUGCUGCCUUUGCCUCUGUUUCCAUAGUUGUUUCAAUGUCUUUUUUAAAAAUCACAUACACUCGAGUAAGACUGAGUCUCCUCACCGAAGAGAUCUGGCUGUAUCCCGAGUCUCUGAAACCUUUGCUCCAGUCCCGUGGGAGCGUGCCGUCCCGAGGAUGUGGAGCCGCAAGGGCUCGCCAGAGGGAUCUCAGGAGCUAGGCCUCAAGGAGCGCUGUUGAGUGACAGGUCUGAUGCAGUAGCUUUUACUAUUGGUGGAAAUCGAUGUUUUUUCCUUGAAAGUCUACCUUUCUAAGUUCAGUAAACCAAAUUAGAUCAUGUA
rnacentral:lncRNA from 1 species